CAGAAAGACUGAACCACGAUCGUCCAAUGGCAAGGGAGCCCGUAGAGAAGGCGGGACUUCCUCUCUGCAGGAUUCAGGCCCGGCCCUGCGGAAGGAGGGGGAGAUGUUUAAGUCCUUCAGACACAAAGACACUCAGAGCGACCUGCUGUAGUUCGGCUGCAGUCGCUUCUCCAGCGGGAGUGGUGCUUCACGAACUCGUGGACUGAGCAGCUCCUGUUCAGCGACUCAUGCUAAAGCGUAACUAAAUGACUGUUGUUGUAAAUGUGGGGGAAGUGAAAGUGAACCAGUGAGUCGCAGGAAACCUGCCCGAGGCAGCAGAGGGAACUGAAAACUGUAGAGCAGUAGAGUAGUACAUUAGUUUAUAGCUCUGUGCUCAUGUACACUGGCUCCCUGAUUCACACUUUUCUCUCAGAGACGUACACAUAGAACAGCAGACUACCCCACACAAUGUAGACGUUACAUUUCAAACAUAGUAAAUAAUAACAACCAGAAUGAACUGAGUGCUUUAAUCAGGCUGGGAGGGAAGUCCCGAUGUUCAGCAAAACCCCUCCAGCCACAAAAGGAAUGUGACCUCCGGGGGUGGGAUAGCUCAGUGUUUGAGCUUGGCAGCAGUGUACAGAGGUUUGUGUGUACUGAGUAUACUGAGGACUGCGUGGCAGGGGGAGAAGGAAGUAGUGUGUUUCUGACACUGCACAGCGCCCCGGGGAAAGUUCAAACACUCUUUUUCCAAAGGAACACAACUCCCAUGAGAUCAGAAUUUAUUUGACCUUUGUUUUCACUUUGUAACGCACAACCUCCGACGUCAUUUCAGCAGGUGAACACCUGGAAAAAUGGGUUGGAUAAGUGUUCACACCCCUCAGGAAGAGCAAUGGUAAAUCAGCUCCGGUGUGACCUAUUACCUCCCACAUGACACAACAAGCCAAUCAGCCUCCCCCCCGUUCAACUGGAGCGGUUCUGAUGACUUCAGAACAGAAGCAGCCCUUCCUGUCGCUCUCCUCUGCUGGGUAGUGUGUCCCCAGGUGAAGACACAACUGUGCCAACAAGGUCAAAUGUCCUCUGGGACAAUGUGGAAAGGCACAGACCGGGAGAUGGAUUUGAAAAGAUUGCAGAGGCCGUACAUCUCUGUCGGAACGCAGUCGAGAGCAUCGUUUAGAAGUGAGAGGAGUUUGGCACCACCCAGACCCUGUCUAGUUCAGGCCGUCAGUCCCUACCAGAUGACCAGGCCAGAAGGAGUCUGAUCAGAGAGGCCGCUAGGAGACCAGUGGCAACUUUGAAAGAGCUGCAGGCCUUCACUGCUUGGCUUCGUGACUGGGCAAACUGCACCUGUGACGGCAAAAUAUCCCCGGCACUCCACGGAUCGGCCUUAUCUCUUCCACGUAGGGAUCGAAUCAGUUAUUGCUGCACUUUACAGGAGAUCGUCCGUAUCCACCCAGCUUCGUUCGAUUCAUCAUGCUAGGCACCUCUUCAGCCUGAUCCAGUUACAGAAAAAAUAUCCACACUGCCACAGUGGUGGUGGUCUCCCUGGAUGCAGAGGAUGCAAGAUAUCAGAUGGGGAACUGCGUAACAGCUCAUCAACUGUCAUUCUCAUAGAAGCAUGGAGAUCCAAAAGACCGGGACAGCGAUUCGAUGAGCCACGUCACAGAGAGAGUGUGGAACGAGCAUGAGCAGUAAGGCUGAUUUGAAUACCCAGAGUCCUCGGCCUGCUGUCUCCACCGUGUCUCUGACUGCAGGCAGGCUGUGAGCUGGAGGGGUGUGGGAAUGUGGCUCUGCAGGCUGGGCGGGGCUGAGCUGGCCAAACAGGUCUGCUCUGCUACAGCGAGGGCAGGGAGUGAAUUGUGUACCUGGACUAGUCAACACUACAGUCAGGUACCGCUCACAGUACUGGGGAUUAUACUGGAGAGGAGGCUUCACCUUUCAAUUCAUAGCCAUCUCUCUACAGCUGCCACAGAGCCACAUUGCAGAGACACUGAUCCGGGAGCUGGACUGUGUGAGGUCAGUGCUGAAGAGGGGUCAGAGGACAAGACUGAAGCUGCUGUGUGCUGGAGGGACA